rnacentral:lncRNA from 1 species
CUUUUUUUGGUGGCAUAUAUGUGCUUUUUAGUUUGAUUAUUGUUAUAUUUCUGAAAAUCAUGUGAUUCUGAAAUUUUUAUAAUUAUUUUAGUUGUUAUGUAGCACGAAUUUGGUGAUACCACAACUGGGUGUAUCUCAACAGGUUGGAUUUGAUUGUGUUUUUACUUUUGAGUUUUAAUUGGUUAAAGUUUUGAUUUUAGCUGUGUAUUUUGAUUGGUGAUUUAUUAUAUUACUAGAAAGUGUAAAAUUUGCCAUAUAUAUAAUUGUUUGAACCGGUUAUGCAAACUUUUUGAAAGUCAUAACUUUAAAGUUAUGCAUAUUAUUUUUCGUGUCCACCAUUUGCAAUGAGAUCUCUAUCAAUGGAAAUAUUAAACAGUGAAUCAUGAUAUCAUUGCUAUCCUCUUGGCUAAGGUACUGUGUGUGAUUUAAUAGAGUUGGGAAAGAGUAUAUUCUCACUUUAAUAUUCUCUUAGUCUUAGCUAAGGUGUGAUUUAAUAUGUAAUAAGGAGGAUAUAGAUGUAUUUGGUGAGUGCAUAUCUAUAGAAGACCCCACACUAAUCUAUUUGUAAAACCCAUAAAAGAUAAAGAGGGGGACGUGUAGUUAGAACUGUAGUUCAAGUGUUUGAUGAAAUGAGACUAAGACAAUGUUUAUAUGCAUUAAUGUAUUGACACUUAUGAUUCAUAUUUUGGAGCCAGAUUGAAAUUUUAAUUAAAAAUAAUUUAAAUUAAAUGGAUUGUAAGGAUAUCAUUGAGUUCUAGGAAUUUCUUCUCUCCAAAUGUGAUAAACUCAUAUGAAAACACCCCACUGGAUAACUUGCCAUGGUUGAGUAGGUUUUGGUGCCAGACACUUUAUAACAAAUUUGCACCUAAAGUUCUUUUGACACUAUCAGUUUAGUACUUCUGUAAGACCCCAACUUAUUAUUUAAUGAAAUUAAAUUUCCUCUAUUUAUUAUCUUGAAAUAGUAAGGGUUGAUUUGAUUAAUGUGGUAAGUUAUGGGUAAAAUGCGCAAUUAUUUCAAACAAGCAAGUGGUUUUAAAAUAUUCAUUGUUGACGGAGAAUAUUCGUUUGGUCGUGGAAUAUUUUUACUGCCGGGGAAUAUUCGUACGACGGCGCAGCCUUGUGUGGGCCCCAUAACAAAAAGCGAUUGGAUGAAGAAAAUGACAAGAAUAAGUUGGUUAUAAAUAACGGCGUAGUUGUUACCGUUAAUACUGUUGGAAUACCCGGUGGUUAAAACACAGUAGCACACGGUAUUACACAAAUUAUUGAUUCUUAUGUAAAAAGGCACUACUCAAUAAUUGUUAUAGUAAUUACUGUUCAGUAUUUUAUUUUAUUGAUUCAAUAAUUGCUGCGUUG